rnacentral:rRNA from 1 species
GCUCAAAUUUAAAAUCUGGCGGUCUUUGACUGUCCGAGUUGUAAUCUAGAGAAGUGUUAUCCGCGCUGGACCGUGUACAAGUCUCCUGGAAUGGAGCGUCAUAGAGGGUGAGAAUCCCGUCUUUGACACGGACUGCCAGGGCUUUUGUGAUGCGCUCUCAAAGAGUCGAGUUGUUUGGGAAUGCAGCUCAAAAUGGGUGGUAAAUUCCAUCUAAAGCUAAAUAUUGGCGAGAGACCGAUAGCGAACAAGUACCGUGAGGGAAAGAUGAAAAGAACUUUGGAAAGAGAGUUAAACAGUACGUGAAAUUGCUGAAAGGGAAACGCUUGAAGUCAGUCACGUUGUCCAGGGAUCAACCUUGCUUUUGCUUGGCGCACUUUCUGGUUGACGGGUCAGCAUCAAUUUUGACUAUUGGAAAAAGAUUAGGGGAAUGUGGCAUCCUCGGAUGUGUUAUAGCCCU